CCUACGGGUGGCAGCAGUGAGGAAUAUUGGUCAAUGGGCGAGAGCCUGAACCAGCCAAGCCGCGUGAGGGAGUACUGCCCUAUGGGUUGUAAACCUCUUUUGUCGGGGAGCAAAAGUCGGACGUGUCCGGCUGUGAGAGUACCCGAAGAAAAAGCAUCGGCUAACUCCGUGCCAGCAGCCGCGGUCAUACGGAGGAUGCGAGCGGUAUCCGGAUUUAUUGGGUUUAAAGGGUGCGAAGGCGGAUUUUUAAGUCAGCGGUAAAAUCGUGGGGCUCAACCCCAUCCAGCCGUUGAAACUGGGGAUCUAGAGUGUGCGAGAGGUAUGCGGAAUGCGUGGUGUAGCGGUGAAAUGCAUAGAUAUCACGCAGAACCCCGAUUGCGAAGGCAGCAUACCGGUGCACAACUGACGCUCAGGCACGAAAGCGUGGGUAUCGAACAGGAUUAGAUACCCCUGUAGUC
rnacentral:rRNA from 1 species